AUUUCCAGUAUGUUUUUAUUUUUCUAUCUCUCUCUCUGAAGAUUUUAAUAUGCAGAGGCUUGGGGACCUUCUACGGGAUUCAGAGAAAAUAUUGUUUAUCUAACAUAUUACUUUAGUUCCUUGUUAGUUAUUUGUCUUUCAUGUGCUCUCAGGCCGUUAUAAUCUUCACGUUCCGGUGCUAACAUGCAAACAUUGCAAUAAGCAAUGGGCCCCAGAAGUCGGUGUCUUUGUAAGGAGUGGUUACUGGAAUGUCAUUGAAAGCCUUCACAGCAAUGUUGGACCAGAGAACAAAGCUGUUUGGAAGAUUUUUCAGACUGGCAAAGUGAAUGCAGAUGCUUUUCAGAGGAGCUUUCUGCAAUAUGUGUACUGCAACUCUGAAGAGGACCAACUUCUGGAAAAGGAGCCAUUUGUCUGUCCAGCCUGUAGUCCUGAAACGGUGGCUGUUUCAGUGGAUGGCAACAGAAAACUCUACAGGUUCCAGAAAGCAAACCAGAGUGAAGAGUCAGGGUUCUUUGAUGGAGUGUUUUUAUCCCAGGACUCUGAGGUGUCCAGUUUUGUUGAGGAAGUCCGGGGGGCUGUCAAGAGUGUAAGUUUUCAAUCAGGCUGAGCAGAGGGUAUCUCUGGCUUAUUUUAUAACUAAUUGGAAGUAAAGUUGGAAACACUGUAUCCUUAUAAGGUGUUCGGAUGAGGGAAUCUUUGAUC
ensembl:lncRNA